AACGCACGAGACCUGCGGACCUGCGGAGGGAUCAUUACUGAGUGAGGGCCUCGCGCCCGACCUCCAACCCUCUGUGAACCAAACUUGUUGCUUCGGGGGCUGCCCUGCCGUCUGGAGGGGCGCCCCCGGAGGACCAUCAAACGCUGCAUCUGUGCGUCGGAGUAUCAAUCAAAUUGAACAAAACUUUCAACAAUGGAUCUCU
rnacentral:misc_RNA from 1 species